rnacentral:tRNA from 1 species
GCAGUCGUGGCCGAGUGGUUAAGGCGAUGGACUAGAAAUCAAUUCGGGUCUCCCCGCACAGGUUCGAAUCCUGUUGACUGCG